rnacentral:rRNA from 1 species
AGAGUUUGAUCAUGGCUCAGAUUGAACGCUGGCGGCAUGCUUUACACAUGCAAGCCGAACGGUAACAGGCCGCAAGGUGCUGACGAGUGGCGAACGGGUGAGUAAUGCAUCGGAACGUGCCCAGUCGUGGGGGAUAACGCAGCGAAAGCUGCGCUAAUACCGCAUACGAUCUAUGGAUGAAAGCGGGGGACCGUAAGGCCUCGCGCGAUUGGAGCGGCCGAUGUCAGAUUAGGUAGUUGGUGGGGUAAAGGCUCACCAAGCCGACGAUCUGUAGCUGGUCUGAGAGGACGACCAGCCACACUGGGACUGAGACACGGCCCAGACUCCUACGGGAGGCAGCAGUGGGGAAUUUUGGACAAUGGGCGCAAGCCUGAUCCAGCAAUGCCGCGUGCAGGAAGAAGGCCUUCGGGUUGUAAACUGCUUUUGUACGGAACGAAAAGGCCCUGGUUAAUACCUGGGGCUCAUGACGGUACCGUAAGAAUAAGCACCGGCUAACUACGUGCCAGCAGCCGCGGUAAUACGUAGGGUGCAAGCGUUAAUCGGAAUUACUGGGCGUAAAGCGUGCGCAGGCGGUUUUGUAAGACAGGCGUGAAAUCCCCGGGCUCAACCUGGGAAUUGCGCUUGUGACUGCAAGGCUGGAGUGCGGC